ensembl:lncRNA
GGUUAAAGCCCUCAAGGAAGGCCUCUGGGAGGAGGUGACCUUGAAGCUGAAGGCUCUUUCCUCCAGGGGACGUCCAUGGAGAAAGGUCCACUGGUCAGGUCAAGAGCCAUGACCAGGCUGUCACUGGCCGUGGCAGGGGUGCCCCAAAGGACAACUUGCCAGCAGAUGGGAAAACAUGGGGUGUCUAACGAAUGCAGAAUGGAACUGCGUUGAAUUCAGGUUCUCAGAGGUCUCUCCUGCCCAGGUGGACAGCAACCCAGGUGGCUGUUUUGACAGCCCCAAGAGGCAGAAGCAAGUCAGAGGGGUUGAGUGACUCUUCCAAGGAGGCUCAGGACUCCAAAACAGAAAGGUUCUGAUGUUAGACCGGUUGAGGCCUGGGAUAUAGCUAGGACAAGAGGAACUGGGGCUGCCAAAGAUGGAGAAGCUCCAUACAGUCAACAAAAACAAGACCAGGAGCUGACUGUGGCUCAGAUCAUGAACUCCUUAUUACCAAAUUCAGACUCAAAUUGAAGAAAGUAGGGAAAACCGCUAGACCAUUCAGCCAGGACCAUAAUCCCCAUUUCACAGACUUGGAAACUGAGGCGCAAAAGGGGCAGUCACCUGCUUAAGUUCCGUAGGUACGAAGAGAGGGAGC